AUGCUUUACUGUUUAGAACAGAAGGGGAGCAGGCUAGCGCCACAGGGAUGUUUAGGCAGGACGCGAUGGGUGCGUGACUCCUUGCUCAGCUGCCCUCCUGGUGCAGCUUUCCUGAGAGGAAGACCUGCAUCCUGGCAGAGACACCAGCUGGCCAGACGUGGGCCAAGCCAAGCUGGGCACAAGAGCCAGUGUGGAGGGAAGGAGGGAGCCACCAAACAGAAGAGCAGAGCUCUUGCGUCUUGGAAGCUGCAGACCCAGCUGGCUCUGCCCAGGCAGAAAUGCUCUCAGGCAAGGAAAGGAGGCUGUCCCUGCUGCCAUGGAGGUUUUGAGCAAGUGGCUUCUGAGUUGCACACAUACAACCGAGGGUGCUCUUUACCCAGAUGCUCACUCCAAGACGUUUUGAACCUAGACUCAAAAUUAAAAUAUGGACAAGGAAAACUGUGUCUGGAGGCAGCACAAGGCAAUGACCUAUAAGAAGAGGAAUGGCUAUAAACCAUCAUUUACAGAGAAAAAGCUACUGGUAUAAACACACCAAUAUCUGAAAGCAAGAGUUAGCCACAUGGCCACUGUCCACUACGUCCAGUGUUAGAGCACAUGUGCACAUACAGUUUCCAUCAGUAUUAACACCGGAGAGGUGCUUUAACAGAGAAUGGAAUACAGUAUAAAGUACUUUACUGAUGUUAUUGCUUUUUCUCUUUAUAUCUUAUGCAGGUAGUCUGUGCCUUUGCAGCCUGAAAGAGCAUGUUGCUGUUGGACAAAAUAUCAUGACUUAUACCUCCUGAUAUGCUAUUAUCAGUACAACAUUUUGGAUAUAUGUACAACCUCAAUGCUUUCUUCAUGUAGCAUCGUACACACAUAGGCACACUGGUGUUUGACCACUACCUUGCACUGGUUCAGGUCCCACUGCUUUUGGAAGUACUAUAACAUAUAGUACUCCAUAUUUUUAAUAAUGGCAUCUUAUCCAUUAGCCAUUAGCCAAUGAAAAUGACUGCUAAAAUAUGAAGAUACAUAGAGAACUGAUAUACCAGUAAAAAAUUAAUUAGUGAUAUAAUAUUAAAAAAAAAAAAUUUCUCAAUGACAUAGAAAAAUGACAGAUGUUUGUAGAAGUACAUCUGGACUUCUCAAAAAGUAAAUACCACAGGCAUCAAGCAGCACUCAGAAUGAGUUGUAAACAGCUUGUUACAUCUUUCUCACAUCAUGUAAAAUGAUCUCCCCUAUAUAACUUAAGAAAUUUUCUUUAGAAGACUUGCCUUCAGAGAAAACACCAGCACCAGCAAGGUUCACAAGCUUUUAUAAAACUCCAGGGAAAAUUGAAUCUAAUAAAAUGCAGAGAAAUUUGAUGGAUUUAAAACUG
rnacentral:lncRNA from 1 species